rnacentral:rRNA from 1 species
CAGCCGCCGCGGUAAUACGUAGGUGGCAAGCGUUGUCCGGAAUUAUUGGGCGUAAAGGGCUCGCAGGCGGUUUCUUAAGUCUGAUGGGAAAGCCCCCGGCUCAACCGGGGAGGGUCAUUGGAAACUGGAAACUUGAGUGCAGAAGAGGAGAGUGGAAUUCCACGUGUAGCGGUGAAAUGCGUAGAGAUGUGGAGGAACACCAGCGGCGAAGGCGACUCUCUGGUCUGUAACUGACGCUGAGGAGCGAAAGCGUGGGGAGCGAACAGGAUUAGAUACCCCGGUAGUCCCUGUCUCUUAUACA